rnacentral:misc_RNA from 1 species
GAUGAAGAACGCAGCGAAAUGCGAUAAGUAAUGUGAAUUGCAGAAUUCAGUGAAUCAUCGAAUCUUUGAACGCACAUUGCGCCCGCCAGUAUUCUGGCGGGCAUGCCUGUUCGAACGUCAUUACAACCCUCAGGCCCCCGGGCCUGGCGUUGGGGAUCGGCGGAAGCCCCCUGCGGGCACAACGCCGUCCCCCAAAUACAGUGGCGGUCCCGCCGCAGCUUCCAUUGCGUAGUAGCUAACACCUCGCAACUGGAGAGCGGCGCGGCCACGCCGUAAAACACCCAACUUCUGAAUGUUGACCUCGAAUCAGGUAGGAAUACCCGCUGAACUUAAGCAUAUCAAUAAGCGGAGGA